UAGGUCAAAAGCAGCCCAGCUGAAAACAGACACUUACGUUCCCCCCUAGCUAUGCCUGCAUCUGAAAUCAGGGGAUUUUCUUUUCAAGUUUUGUCAGCUUUCCAACUCUUUCAAGAAAGAGAUCGAAAGGGGAAAGAAAGGAGAGAGGACUGUAAACCUUAAUGUGCAUACAGCUGUGACAGGGAGCAAAUGCAGGGAAAAUUCACACUGCAGUUGGCGUGUCCUCCUGCAGCCCAGGCUGAAGCAACCCCUGUGGCUGCUGUGCUGUUGGCGGGUGUUCAGUGCAUCGCAGCUGAAGAUGCUCAUGUGAACCCAUGGGAAUCUGUUCUGCCAAGUUCCUCGUAGCUCUGCUCGGUUCGGUCUCAUUUUUAUUUAAUGCUCUUCUCUCCCCUACUGUGGUUUGGUGCGGCUCAUUUCUGCAGCUUCCAUGAAGAUGCAAGGGUGAGAAGUAUUGCGGAGUUAAGAGAAGAGAAAGUCUCUCCAUCUCUCUGUCAUCCUGCUCAGACCCGAGAUUUAGACAAGGAAGAAUGGAAGAUUCGCUCGAAGGCGGCCUGAGAGUCUGCUGAGAAAGGAUGAGCCACAGCAGAGGAGGAGGAGAUUCAAGAAGGAAACAACAACCCAAGAGCAAGGAGGUUGUGAAUCAGCCAAACCUCUGGGAGACAUCAUGCACAGAGGAGGAGACACCAAGACUCCAUGCUCAGGAAAACUGAUAUACUUCUGUUAGUAGUCUUGGGUCUCAUUUGCAUUACCAUGCAUUACCAGUACUUAGAGAUAUGUUUAACUUUAAGGACAUGGGUGAUUGUGGUCUGAAAGCAGCAAUGUGGUUUUAUCUGCUUAUGUGCUCUAUAUUCUCAAAGGGAAACUGUUCCCACUUUUCAGAAACAAAACCUAAGAAUGUGACUGGGAAAAUGAGCC
rnacentral:lncRNA from 1 species